ACGCAGAUUUGGGCGAAGUGCGACUUUGAAUCAAGAUAUUCAUACGUACAAAAUAGUGUAAAUCAGUGUUUUUAAAUAUAAUGAAAUAUGAUGAUGAUGACGAUGUUAUAUCUCGUAAAUGCUAUACUCAAAACUUAAAUUACAAUUAACUGAUUUUAUUUGGUUGAAGGAGUACUUUCAGAAUAUUUUUUUAUCAACUCCGUAGUUUCUGGUCUCUUUAUACUUCCCUUCUUUUGUUCUUCAGUCUUACUUCAGCAGUUGUUAGGCUUGGGAAAAUGGCGGUAGUUAAUGCUAGUUGUAAUCGUGUGAGUGUCACAAAUGGUAGUGAACCUGUGAAAUCAAAAAAACAAGAUUAUGGUAGAGUUAUACUGACCUUACAGAAUUGUAUUAUUCCACCAUGUAAACUCUAUCCUACUCCAUCCAUGAUAGAUGGGGUUGAUCGUGAGACUGAAAAAGAUUUGCGAAUACUAGGAUGUGAUCUGAUUCAGACAUCAGGGUAUUUGUUAAGAUUGCCUCAGGUGGCUAUGGCAACAGGACAGGUCUUGUUUCAACGAUUUUUUUUUUCAAAAUCCUUUGUGAAGCAUGGAAUGGAGAUUUUAGCUAUGGCUUGUAUAACUUUAGCAUCUAAAAUUGAAGAAGCACCAAGAAGAAUCCGUGAUGUGGUGAAUGUGCUCCAUCACAUCAAACAACUUCGUGCUGGAAAGACCAUUCAGCCAUUGAUCUUGGAUCAGAAUUAUAUUAACCUCAAGAACCAAGUCAUCAAGGCAGAGAGAAGAGUUCUGAAGGAGCUGGGCUUCUGUGUUCAUGUAAAGCAUCCUCAUAAGAUUAUUGUGACUUUCCUUCAAGUUUUGGAAUGUGAGAAGAAUCACAAGCUGAUGCAGACUGCUUGGAACUAUAUGAAUGACAGUCUGAGAUCUGAAGUUUUUGUUCAAUAUCAUCCUGAAAGUAUCGCUUGUGCCUGUAUUUAUCUCAGUGCCCGGCUCUUACAAAUCCCUCUACCAAGUAAACCAGCAUGGUACUUAAUGUUUGGUGUGACUGAAGAGGUUAUUGAAGAUAUUUGUCAUACAGUUUUAGCUUUAUAUACUAGAAGAAAGUCUGAUCCACAUCAUUUGGACAAGACAAUUGAGGAACUUAAAAAAGCCCAACAAGAAUCUAAGUUAAAAGCCAAAGAAUUAUCAGGAAACAAUACACCAAUUCCUAACAAUGCUGGAUUUUCUCCUGGACCAAAAAACAUGCAGUCUGAAUGAAGUCAUUAGUAUUUGUGAAUUUCUGAUAGCCCCUCUGAAUAAUUUUGAACUACUCUCCAAACCUUGCUGAGUCUCCAUUAGUAAAUUCUAAAGACACCAGAGGAAAUGAAGUGUUUUCAAAACUUGUGAAGGAAAAUCAACUGAAGAGAAAGGGAAGUCCACACAGUUCUCCUAAUAGAUACACUGUAAAAAAUAAAAGCUCUUCUGGAAGUCCCAGUCCCAAGA
rnacentral:misc_RNA from 1 species